rnacentral:misc_RNA from 1 species
GAUGAAGAACGUAGCGAAAUGCGAUAAGUAAUGUGAAUUGCAGAAUUCAGUGAAUCAUCGAAUCUUUGAACGCACAUUGCGCCCGCCAGUAUUCUGGCGGGCAUGCCUGUCCGAGCGUCAUUUCAACCCUCGCGCCCAUCUGGGCUGCGGUGUUGGGGACCGGCCUGCCCCCCCGGGGCGCGCCGCCCCCCAAAUUCAGUGGCGGUCUCGCUGCAGCCUCCCUUGCGUAGUAGCACACCUCGCACCGGAGCGCAGCGCGGCCACGCCGUAAAACCCCCGACCCCCAUGAGUUUGACCUCUGAUCAGGUAGGAAUACCCGCUGAACUUAAGCAUAUCAAUAAGCGGAGGA